rnacentral:lncRNA from 10 species
AUGGAAAACCAUGAAACAUGCUUAUUUUCUUCUAGGAUGCCUGCCCAUGACUUCAACUGGUGGUAUUCUUUGUACUUUAUAAUCCACAUUAUCGUCAAUACCUACAUCUUAACGUCCAUCUUUCUGGCCAUGGUGUACCGCAAUUAUAGGAAGCACUUAAAGGUGGUCUUCUAUGUCGUUGCCAUCGUCAGGAUGGGAGUGUUCCAUGGCAAAGUUCAAUCCUUUGAUCCGAAUUUCGCUGCUCCUGACGCCCUGGUUUGUGGAACUGAGCCUUACAGGACUCUGCGUUUGCCUGAAGCAGGUACUGCAAGAACAACUUCAGUGACUCGGCCUCUGCAUUCACUGUGCUGACGGAGCUCACAGUGGUUCACCAGUGGCACAUGGUCGUCAUCCUCAUUGUUAAGCGAGUUUCCGCCAGCCGCGUUGGGAAUUUUGGAUCUCCUUUUUCAGCACACCUAAGGGACGGCCCCUCUUCUCCUGUCCCACCCUGGUAUAGGUUGGGUGGGUGGCAUCUUCCCAAUGGGUGCUAAGCUCUUGGAGGGAAGGGUCUUCUUUCUGUCCAUAUCUGUGUUCCCUGCGGUGUCACCAGCAUGUGGCACAUCUGUAUAUAACAUACGUUUCGGAGCCUUCCAAGUAGUGUGGACCAGAAGGGAACUGAGGCCUGGCUUGUCUACCUACCCUUCCCCACUAAGAUUGAAUCAUCUCUGAAACAUGCCCCCUGAGUUGCUGUCCAGCUUCCACUGAAAUCCAGCUAACCAAUGGGACUCCGAAGAGCCAAAGGGGUCAGCUCCCUUGUCAUCCUGCUCUGGUAGUUAGCACAUCCACAGGUAGAGGGAAAAUGAGCCCCCAGGUGACUUCCAG